rnacentral:rRNA from 1 species
UACGUAGGGUGCAAGCGUUAAUCGGAAUUACUGGGCGUAAAGCGUGCGCAGGCGGUUGUGCAAGCCAGAUGUGAAACCCUCCCGGGCUUAACCUGGGAACUGCAUUUGUGACUGCACGGCUAGAGUGUGUCAGAGGGGGGGUAGAAUUCCACGUGUAGCAGUGAAAUGCGUAGAGAUGUGGAGGAAUACCGAUGGCGAAGGCAGCCCCCUGGGAUAACACUGACGCUCAUG